ACGAACGCUGGCGGCGUGCCUAAUACAUGCAAGUUGAGCGCUGAAGGUUGGUACUUGUACCGACUGGAUGAGCAGCGAACGGGUGAGUAACGCGUGGGGAAUCUGCCUUUGAGCGGGGGACAACAUUUGGAAACGAAUGCUAAUACCGCAUAAAAACUUUAAACACAAGUUUUAAGUUUGAAAGAUGCAAUUGCAUCACUCAAAGAUGAUCCCGCGUUGUAUUAGCUAGUUGGUGAGGUAAAGGCUCACCAAGGCGAUGAUACAUAGCCGACCUGAGAGGGUGAUCGGCCACAUUGGGACUGAGACACGGCCCAAACUCCUACGGGAGGCAGCAGUAGGGAAUCUUCGGCAAUGGACGAAAGUCUGACCGAGCAACGCCGCGUGAGUGAAGAAGGUUUUCGGAUCGUAAAACUCUGUUGGUAGAGAAGAACGUUGGUGAGAGUGGAAAGCUCAUCGAGUGACGGUAACUACCCAGAAAGGGACGGCUAACUACGUG
rnacentral:rRNA from 1 species